CGAUUUUAUUGAUGAAGUUGAAAGUGAUUAUAUUACUAGAUUAGAUGCAUCAGAGGAUAAUGCAGAUAGUGAAAUAUCCACAAGUGGUACACAUAAAAUAGUAAAUAGUGCAAUAUAUAACGCAUGUGCUACAUGCAUUAAAAAUAUAUCAGAUGCUAAAGAAAGAUUUAACAAAUGGGAUGAUGACUCAGAUGAAGAUGAUGAGUAUGAAUUUGAAGUAAGACGUAAAGUACACAAGAAUUUUCAUAAAUCCAGUAAUUAUGAUAGAUAUAAUAUUGAGAAUAAAAAUGAAUAUGACUAUGAUAAACAUAAUAAUGAUAAUCAGGAUGGGAUAAGAAUGAUUGAUUAUAAAAAUAAAAUAAAACAGUAUGAACUUAAAAUUAAAAAGUAUAAAAAUAAAAUACAUGAAUUAAGAAGGUAUUGUAGAUUGUCAAAAAAUUAUCAUAAUAGCUCCAAAGGAAGUUAUGGUGAUGACACAAAUACUAAAAAAGAUAUAAAACCGAACGUGGAUUCGUCAACAAUAGAUGAUGUUGCUCAUUAUUUAUUAGAUGAUAUAUCCGACACUGAACAAAACAUGCAUAAAGAAUAUGAUCUAAUAAAAAAUGAAAUUUAUAAUAAAUUAAAUUAUAUUCAAGACGAAAUAGAUCUAAUCGUAAAAGAUAUUGUAAAACAAUUUGUAAAUAAAGUUGAAGAUUCAACACAACUAAAAUUAGAAGAAAUAACAGACAUGAUUAAAGAAAUACGUAAACACAUUGAACCAUAUUGUAAUGAUUUAAAAUCUAAAUUACGACCAAAUAUAGAGGAAUUAUUAAAACCGGCUGUUGAUAUUUUUAUUCAACGAAUUAAUAAAAUCGAGCAAAUAUUUUUAAAUAAAAUUAAAAAAUUUCAUCUUAAGUUAGACAUUUUUACAGAAAAAAUACAACCAAAAAUAGAUGAAUUUAGAGAGAAAUUAAACAAUGAUGUAAUUGAUGCUAAAAUUGAUGAGUUUGUAAACUAUUUAAAUAAUUACAUUGAUGAACAAGUAUAUAAUAGUAUAAAUCAUGAAAUCAAUAGAAUCCAAAGGAAUAUAGAAAGUGACAUUAAAUACAAAAUUAAUAAGUUUGUGUAUAUAAAUAAAAAAACACUU
rnacentral:lncRNA from 1 species